rnacentral:pre_miRNA from 9 species
AUGCGUGCAUGGGGGCUCUCUUCUAGCUCCGAUUCUGAAAGGAGAUGAUGGUGCGACAUGGCUGCUAGUUCAUGAAUACCCUUUGGUGCGCAGGUCAGUUCUAUGUAGUUGGCAAAUGGCAAUGGUGAUGCGCAGCCUAAGAGUAAGCAUCUGCUGGGAGCUCUGUUUACCUUUGAUAUUCUUUUUGGUAUUGGGGCGAAGGAAGCUCCUAUAUUUACAUGU